UCUAACGUUACUCUGAUACACACCUAACUUGUGAAAUACAAGUUAUUUGUGCUCGAUGUAAAGGUUACAGCCCAUUCAAAGGUUACAUGCGGACGUGCGCUGCCCUCUUACAGGUUACAUUGCGAGAGAAACAGUGGCGUUACCCCUAAGGACGGCGUUACGCUUUUGGAGAAGUUACCAGCGUUACUUAUAAAAGCGAAGUGGUCCGCAGUUUCGCGAAAGUCGGCAGGUGGAGGUUGCACGUCAAGUGGCAGUUGGCAACAGCGUGUAUCAGGAAAAAGCGGGAGGAGCGUUUCGCUUGCUGUGUGGUACCUCGCCGCUUCGACAUCCGUUGCAUUGGAAACAACGGAAUUCAAAGUCAGAUACUCGCAGGUGGAUAUAUGAUGUGACGGACGCACACAGACAUUCGAGGUUUCACACAGGGACGUUGCACGGACGCCGGCUGUGAUCGUGAUGCAUUUAUUGGAGAAAUGGAUGAAAAUGGACAUGCACUGGAAGUAGCAUGCUGUUAUUGUCACCAUGCACGAGCCAAGCAUGCAGCACUGAGUGAAACAGCUAACCCAUAGCGCAGCUCCACUAGUUCCAAAUUUGAUGGACACAGCCAUGAGUUACCUGGCAGUAUUGUGGCAGAGGGUAUCUUGUGCCACAGAAGUACAUACGAACAGUCCAGCAGAAAUACAGCAGCAGCCCAAUCCCAGUCUAUAACUCUGCAGAGGCUCAGAGAGAUAGCAGCAAACCAGGUCCUUCCCACAACUCUCCGCAAGCUCGGGAUUCGUCGCAAACCCAGCCAGCCAGCCAUGUACGAACCUAUAUUUGCCAACAUUGUAGAUUGUCGACUAGGUAUUUCCAGUGCCUUUGUGACCACGUUGUUCAGUGUGUUGGGUGUGGCUUUCUCCCUUCUUGUGAUACUUGUGGAACAACGUUUGAAACCAUCUCAAGAUACAUACAUCAUUUGAAUUUUUGUAUUUAGUUAAGCACACGAGUACAGGAUGACAUAACAUGACAGGAUGAGCCAGCCAACACAAUGUAUAGGUGAGCUACUUGAGCAGAUGGAAAGAACAGAUCAAAGUUCGAAGAAUAAUCUGAAAAAAAAAAGGCUAUUUAUGCCAUAACCCAGAGGGCCACCACAUGUGCUCCAAGGUGGUUGUCGAUUGCGUUGUAAGCAGCAUAGAGGAAUUGUUUCAGGAAAUGGGUGUGCAGAUUGACACCACUUUGGUAAAAUCAGAUCAGGUUCGGAAGUUGCAUUAUGAGGAACCCCUGAUUUUUUGUAACGUGCCUUAAGUGCAAAAUGCGUUGGGGUUCUUUAUCUCAUUAAACUUUCAUUUAGAUAAUUUUUCUACACGUCAUAUGAAGAUGACUACGAAUUAUCUAUUUUGCUAAAGUCAAAAAGUGACUUGUCAACUCAGUUCCAUUAUAUGUACAUUCAGUGCAAGGUGUUCUGCAGUUUAGUAAUACUCAUAUUUCAUAUAUGCCUUUUCUCUGCAUGAUCCUUCGGAGAUAUUUUGCUCCACUGAAGAAGAGACUUGUGAACUCGAUUUUGACUUUCAGUGCAAAGUGUAUUGCAUCUUGAACUUUUAAUAUUACUCCUACUUAAUAUGUUACAAUUCAUUCUUUGAAUGGUCUUUCCAUGUGUCAUAUGAAGAUGAUAAAGAAUUUUACAGUAUAUUUUUCGAGUAUUUUGCGUUGAAUACUAUGUAGUAUGAACCGUUGAUAAUAAAGUAACGCUGUGUUUGCAAAGAAAAGCUUCAUAUUUUCGUUUAGCAUUUCCUGCGUUUUAUUGGGCAAGGUGUCCUUGAGAACGUGUCACAACCUUUUAGUUAAUGAAAUACUUUACAUAGCGGCAUGCAGUGAACGAUAUUUAGUUCCGUGAGGUUUUUGGAAACUCGUGACAUGCGUUUAAUUUGUUUUCAGUGGUUCCAUUCUUACUCGUUUUUUUUUUUUUUUUUUUGCAACUGAGCUCCACAAUUUUUUUUAGUAUUGUGAUUUUUUUUUAUUUUUCCAAAAGGAUGCGCGUGUCGAGCUUACUCUGCUUCAGGUACAGGCAAAUCGGCAUCCGCGAGCGCAUAGUUAUGAUUACCCAAUACUGUUAGGACACAUUUCUCUGUGGUGUGCUUCUUUUAUUGGGAGUUCGUGCAAUGUUCUCAGGGACGCCUCACCCCGCCUUCCUGUGUAGAUGGCUUCACUGAAUAACUUUAAGAUAAAGGUUACAAACCUAGCAACGCAGUGGGUGGGUAUAGGUUAUACUUUAACCUCUGUGUAAGAGUUACAUGGGCAGCAACGUGGAAAGUGACUACAGGUUAUGCUUUAACCUGUGUACAAGGGUUAUUCAGAGUAUAGGUAACAUAGUUACCUCUAGAAAUAGAGGUAAAAAGUUUGCAAGUUUUUUACUUCUAUUUAUGGGU